AGAUUUUUCGCGAAACAAUGAAAUAGGGCCGGAAACUUGUGAAGAUGAAGACAACUAUGAAAGCACGUGCUUCGUAAACGAUGCCAUCAAAACUCGCUGUGCUGUGCCUGAAAUGCCUUCAGAAGAAUGUAUGGCUCAAAUGAAAGCUUUCGUACAAGCAGAUGUUUGCAACUUAAGAAGAAAAUAAACAGGAGUUGGAUUGCAAAUGGAAAAAUUUGUAUUUUAAUAAUAAAGUAUGAAACUGAACAAAA